rnacentral:rRNA from 1 species
UACGGAGGGAGCUAGCGUUGUUCGGAAUUACUGGGCGUAAAGCGCACGUAGGCGGCUAUUCAAGUCGGAGGUGAAAGCCCGGGGCUCAACUCCGGAAUUGCCUUUAAGACUGCAUCGCUAGAAUUGUGGAGAGGUAAGUGGAAUUCCGAGUGUAGAGGUGAAAUUCGUAGAUAUUCGGAAGAACACCAGUGGCGAAGGCGACUUACUGGACACAUAUUGACGCUGAGGUGCGAAAGCGUGGGGAGCAAACAGG